UAUGGAGCCUCCCCAAACCCAACGUAAUGGUGGAUCUCAGGGCAAUGUAUAUCAGCAACCCCAUCAACACAAUGGAGUGUACGACACUUACAAUCCUAGACAUGAUGAAAACAGGAGAGAAUGUAUGCUGAGAGAAACCCAGGAAUGCA